ACGAACGCUGGCGGCGUGCUUAACUCAUGCAAGUCGAACGGAAAGGCCCUGCUUUUGUGGGGUGCUCGAGUGGCGAACGGGUGAGUAACACGUGAGUAACCUGCCCUUGACUUUGGGAUAACUUCAGGAAACUGGGGCUAAUACCGGAUAGGAGCUCCUGCUGCAUGGUGGGGGUUGGAAAGUUUCGGCGGUUGGGGAUGGACUCGCGGCUUAUCAGCUUGUUGGUGGGGUAGUGGCUUACCAAGGCUUUGACGGGUAGCCGGCCUGAGAGGGUGAACGGCCACAUUGGGACUGAGAGACGGCCCAGAAUCCUACGGGAGGCAGCAGUGGGGAAUAUUGCACAAUGGGCGGAAGCCUGAUGCAGCAACGCCGCGUGCGGGAUGACGGCCUUCGGGUUGUAAACCGCUUUCGACUGUGACGAAGCGUGAGUGACGGUAAUGGGUAAAGAAGCACCGGCUAACUACGUG
rnacentral:rRNA from 1 species